rnacentral:pre_miRNA from 1 species
ACUGGAGGGGGGGUCCCUCAGCCCAGAUUCUGAGAGGGCACAGGCCAGGUUGAGGGACCCCACUGCUGCACA